CGUCCUGGCUGCGCAGGCGGCGGCCCGGCUCCGGACGCAGUGUGGGUGCUCCCCGCGGGGUCCCCGGGAAGGGGCGCGGGUUGACCCAUGUGCGUGAGGAGGUGCCUGGUGGGCCUCACCUUUUGUACCUGCUACCUGGCUUCUUACCUCACGAACAAGUAUGUCCUGUCUGUCUUGAAAUUUACCUACCCUACAUUGUUCCAAGGGUGGCAGACACUAAUUGGUGGACUUCUGCUUCACGUGUCAUGGAAGCUGGGCUGGGCCGAGAUCAACAGCACUUCAAGAUCUGAUGUUUCAACGUGGCUUCCUGCUUCGGUGCUGUUUGUGGGUAUAAUCUAUGCUGGUUCCAGAGCAUUAUCCAAACUGGCCAUUCCUGUGUUUCUCACUUUGCAUAAUGUAGCUGAAGUUAUCAUCUGUGGGCACCAGAAGUGUUUUCGGAAAGAGAAAACUUCUCCUGAAAAGAUCUGUAGCACCCUCUUCCUUCUGGCUGCCGCAGGAUGCCUUCCCUUCAAUGACCCCCAGCAGGUGCGGGCAACCCCUUACGCAGGAUGUCCUGUGCCAGUAACACCCACUGCUUCAUUUUCAGGGGCUUAUAAGAUAGUGCAGAAGUCCCGGAAACCCAAUGCCUUAAGCGACAUUGAGCAGCAGUACUUAAACUAUAUGUUCAGCGUGGUGCUCCUGGCAGUCGCGUCUCAUCCCACAGGUGAUCUCUUCAGUGUCCUGGACUUUCCAUUCCUGUAUUUCUACAGAUUCCAUGGCAGCUGCUGUGCCAGUGGAUUGUUAGGAUUCUUUCUCAUGCUCAGCACAGUGAAGCUGAAAAACCUUGUGGCCCCAGGGCAGUAUGCAGCCUGGAUUUUCUUUGCUAAGGUCAUCACAGCUGGCUUGUCAGUAUUGCUGUUUGAUAUGAUCCUGACCAAUGCAAUGGUGGGAUGCCUCCUGCUCGGUGGACUUGGAGAGGCCUUGCUGGUUUUCUCGGAGCAGAAGAGCUCCUGAAGGCAGGAAGAGUAGACUCCCAGGCUGCCAGCUGGAGUGAGCAGCCCCUGAGCCUUGGAACUCCCUGUCGCAUGUGUCAGGAGGAAGAAAGCAGGGACACUGAGGCCCCCACUUCUCAGGGCAUCAAGGAGAGCUCUCUCCGGGGGUCUCCGGGCUGCUGCAGAGAAUGCACUGGGUUGUGUCUUCCUGCUUCAAGAGGCUCACUCGAGCCCUGCUGACCACGCCAUGUAAACCCAGAUGCAGGGUAUGUGUAUGGGGAGGUCCCUCCUGGGGAUGGCUCUGCUCACUUGAUUGACACACAGGCCUCCGUAUUCAACACCGGCCGCCAAAAACUGCUUUGACCACCUGGUGGUGGGUUCAAGGUAUUGAAUACCUGAUUGUCCCGCCGGGUGUCGGUUGUGGUCAUGUCGAGAUGUAGGAGGUAGUGAAGCUGCAGCCACUGCUCCCCAGGCAGGAAGCCAGCCUUCGGUGUUGGACGUCCGCGUCAUGGAUGGAGAACCAUCUUUAGCAUCUGGGAACUCAGCUCUGGGAAGAGUAAAGUUAGCUCAGUCAGGGGCCAUUCUUUCUGCACAUUCUCUCCAAUUUAUUGAAAAAAUAAACAGAAAAUGAAACAAAUGGGAAUGGAUUAGUAGAUUUGGAACUUGAGUACCUUCAGUCCAUUUCCUGGUCUUUUCCUGGUCUCUGUGUGUCAUUUAAGGUAAAGAUGUUCAGAGUGACCUCUAUGCAGAUGGAGUUUCAGUUUGCUUUUUGUUCUUCAUCAGAGGUGUUAAACUUUAUAGAGGCUGAGGAUCAAAUAGAAAAAUGGGUUUAGAAUUGCCCUUGUUCUUCUGCUCCCACAAAACCCUCUUUGUAAAACUCAGUUCUUCAUCUGAGUGGCAUCUCACCAAAUGAGUGGCAUCUGACCAAAUGUCAUCUUAAGCCUGUCUUUCCAGGUGUCGUCCAUGCAAACGGAGAUUCCUAAGUCUGGAAAGAAUCAUGCACAGUUAAUGGGCCCAUCUCCUGUUUCCAGGAGAUCUGUUCUUCUUUUUUUUUUUUUUCUUUAAGAUUUUUUUUUAAUUUUUAUUUUAUUAUUAUUUUUUAUUUAUUUGAGAGAAAGCGUGAAAGCCAGAGCACAAGCAGUGGGAAGCGGUG